CCUACGGGAGGCAGCAGUGGGGAAUCUUGGACAAUGGGCGCAAGCCUGAUCCAGCCAUGCCGCGUGAGUGAUGAAGGCCUUAGGGUCGUAAAGCUCUUUCGCCAGAGAUGAUAAUGACAGUAUCUGGUAAAGAAACCCCGGCUAACUCCGUGCCAGCAGCCGCGGUAAUACGGAGGGGGUUAGCGUUGUUCGGAAUUACUGGGCGUAAAGCGUACGUAGGCGGAUUAGUCAGUCAGAGGUGAAAUCCCAGGGCUCAACCCUGGAACUGCCUUUGAUACUGCUAGUCUUGAGUUCGAGAGAGGUGAGUGGAAUUCCAAGUGUAGAGGUGAAAUUCGUAGAUAUUUGGAGGAACACCAGUGGCGAAGGCGGCUCACUGGCUCGAUACUGACGCUGAGGUACGAAAGUGUGGGGAGCAAACAGGAUUAGAUACCCUGGUAGUCCACACCGUAAACGAUGAAUGCCAGUCGUCGGGCAGUAUACUGUUCGGUGACACACCUAACGGAUUAAGCAUUCCGCCUGGGGAGUACGGUCGCAAGAUUAAAACUCAAAUGAAUUGACGG
rnacentral:rRNA from 1 species